rnacentral:lncRNA from 1 species
ACAAACAUAAAAGAACUAUUGGCAGCCACACAUUUUUAAAUGAAAAAAUAGUACGUAAUAAAAGAACUACAAGUUUCAUGUACUACAUGGUGUGUGUUUUUUGCGCCUGCAUAUACAGUUGAACUUCAGGCAUCAAAAUCACUUAGACAAUAGGAAUCGACGAUUCUAUCUGGAUACUAUACAACUACAUGGAACAACAUUGACCAAUUCCACCAGAACACGCAUGUGUAGAUUUGAACACUACAAACCACUAGACUAAUCCCUCCUUGCGUUGGCUACAAUUGACCCGGCUUCCAACAGGGUGUUGUGCCAGCGUUGACAGCUCACUAUCCUUGGCUCCUUGCCGUCGAGGUUGGCAGUCGCAGACAUGGUGGCCUAUGCAGUCAACCACCGCCGGACCGUGCACACAGAAUUUUCUGACCUAACAACACACAACGACUUGAACUUCUAUUUGUUUGGAUUUGGAAAAUCGUUUUUCUGAAUACAAUGAGGUUUGGAUGAAAUAGCACAUGAGUUCAGUUAGUUUCUGAACUUUUCUCAAGACAACAAGCUAAGAGCAGGCCAGGGGACCUAAUGAUCGCUUGCUGCUGCCACAGCGGGGUUUCAACUACAGACCUUCUAGAAUGUUAAAUAAUCCCGUACUGUAAUUUCAAGCAUUAUAAACUCAGAAGAUGCCUACAAUUCUCAGUUUGUGCCGAACCUAGGAGUCGAGGAGAUAACCACACAGUCGAGGAGAUAACCACACAGGACUAUUUAGAGGAGUGCAAGUGAAGCAACCUAUUUCUUCAGAAAAUCAACAAACUAAACUUCAGAAAAUAAAAAAAUUGAACUUCACAGGGCCCUGCAAAAAAUACACGGUCAUGAUCAACUUUAAAAACUUCAGAGAAUAGACAAACUGAACUUCUAGAGGGCCAGAUGCUGACCUUUCUCUUUGUAGCGUCGUUGGUGACCUGUAAUUGAAGGUCGGGGAUGAAAGGUAUCACCUCAACGAGUUCAGGCAGCCGGUGCAGGCCAUCCAUGGAGGAGGGGCAAGCUGCAGCGAGGAGGGACCGCGCCGGCCACGGAGCUGGAGGUCCGUCGGCCGCAGGGAAGGAGCGCGCCGGUCGCAGGGAGGGAGG